rfam:Candidatus Portiera aleyrodidarum strain AF-CAI genome assembly, chromosome: I
GCCCGAAUGGCGGAAUUGGUAGACGCAGGGGACUUAAAAUCCCCCGCCUUUAUUUGGCGUGCUGGUUCAAAUCCGGCUUCGGGUA